rnacentral:rRNA from 1 species
GGGUUGUGAGGUUAAGCGACUAAGCGUACACGGUGGAUGCCCUGGCAGUCAGAGGCGAUGAAGGACGUGCUAAUCUGCGAAAAGCGUCGGUAAGGUGAUAUGAACCGUUAUAGCCGGCGAUGUCCGAAUGGGGAAACCCAGUGCAAUUCGUUGCACUAUCGUUAACUGAAUACAUAGGUUAACGAGGCGAACCGGGGGAACUGAAACAUCUAAGUACCCCGAGGAAAAGAAAUCAACCGAGAUUCCCCCAGUAGCGGCGAGCGAACGGGGAGCAGCCCAGAGUCUGAAUCAGCUUGUGUGUUAGUGGAACGGUCUGGAAAGUCCGACGGUACAGGGUGAUAGUCCCGUACACCAAAAUGCACAGGCUGUGAACUCGAAGAGUAGGGCGGGACACGUGGUAUCCUGUCUGAAUAUGGGGGGACCAUCCUCCAAGGCUAAAUACUCCUGACUGACCGAUAGUGAACCAGUACCGUGAGGGAAAGGCGAAAAGAACCCCGGCGAGGGGAGUGAAAAAGAACCUGAAACCGUGUACGUACAAGCAGUGGGAGCACCUUCGGGUGUGACUGCGUACCUUUUGUAUAAUGGGUCAGCGACUUAUAUUCUGUAGCAAGGUUAACCGUAUAGGGGAGCCGCAGGGAAACCGAGUCUUAACUGGGCGUUAAGUUGCAGGGUAUAGACCCGAAACCCGGUGAUCUAGCCAUGGGCAGGUUGAAGGUUGGGUAACACUAACUGGAGGACCGAACCGACUAAUGUUGAAAAAUUAGCGGAUGACUUGUGGCUGGGGGUGAAAGGCCAAUCAAACCGGGAGAUAGCUGGUUCUCCCCGAAAGCUAUUUAGGUAGCGCCUCGUGAACUCAUCUUCGGGGGUAGAGCACUGUUUCGGCUAGGGGGUCAUCCCGACUUACCAACCCGAUGCAAACUACGAAUACCGAAGAAUGUUAUCACGGGAGACACACGGCGGGUGCUAACGUCCGUCGUGAAGAGGGAAACAACCCAGACCGCCAGCUAAGGUCCCAAAGUCAUGGUUAAGUGGGAAACGAUGUGGGAAGGCACAGACAGCCAGGAUGUUGGCUUAGAAGCAGCCAUCAUUUAAAGAAAGCGUAAUAGCUCACUGGUCGAGUCGGCCUGCGCGGAAGAUGUAACGGGGCUAAACCAUGCACCGAAGCUGCGGCAGCGACACUAUGUGUUGUUGGGUAGGGGAGCGUUCUGUAAGCCUGCGAAGGUGACCUGUGAGGGUUGCUGGAGGUAUCAGAAGUGCGAAUGCUGACAUAAGUAACGAUAAAGCGGGUGAAAAGCCCGCUCGCCGGAAGACCAAGGGUUCCUGUCCAACGUUAAUCGGGGCAGGGUGAGUCGACCCCUAAGGCGAGGCCGAAAGGCGUAGUCGAUGGGAAACAGGUUAAUAUUCCUGUACUUGGUGUUACUGCGAAGGGGGGACGGAGAAGGCUAUGUUAGCCGGGCGACGGUUGUCCCGGUUUAAGCAUGUAGGCUGGUUAUCCAGGCAAAUCCGGAUAAUCAAGGCUGAGGUGUGAUGACGAGGCACUACGGUGCUGAAGUAACAAAUGCCCUGCUUCCAGGAAAAGCCUCUAAGCAUCAGGUAACAUCAAAUCGUACCCCAAACCGACACAGGUGGUCAGGUAGAGAAUACCAAGGCGCUUGAGAGAACUCGGGUGAAGGAACUAGGCAAAAUGGUGCCGUAACUUCGGGAGAAGGCACGCUGGUGUGUAGGUGAAGUCCCUGCGGAUGGAGCUGAGACCAGUCGAAGAUACCAGCUGGCUGCAACUGUUUAUUAAAAACACAGCACUGUGCAAACACGAAAGUGGACGUAUACGGUGUGACGCCUGCCCGGUGCCGGAAGGUUAAUUGAUGGGGUUAUCCGUAAGGAGAAGCUCUUGAUCGAAGCCCCGGUAAACGGCGGCCGUAACUAUAACGGUCCUAAGGUAGCGAAAUUCCUUGUCGGGUAAGUUCCGACCUGCACGAAUGGCGUAAUGAUGGCCAGGCUGUCUCCACCCGAGACUCAGUGAAAUUGAACUCGCUGUGAAGAUGCAGUGUACCCGCGGCAAGACGGAAAGACCCCGUGAACCUUUACUAUAGCUUGACACUGAACAUUGAGCCUUGAUGUGUAGGAUAGGUGGGAGGCUUUGAAGCGUGGACGCCAGUCUGCGUGGAGCCAACCUUGAAAUACCACCCUUUAAUGUUUGAUGUUCUAACGUUGGCCCCUUACCGGGGUUGCGGACAGUGUCUGGUGGGUAGUUUGACUGGGGCGGUCUCCUCCCAAAGCGUAACGGAGGAGCACGAAGGUUAGCUAAUCCUGGUCGGACAUCAGGAGGUUAGUGCAAUGGCAUAAGCUAGCUUGACUGCGAGCGUGACGGCGCGAGCAGGUGCGAAAGCAGGUCAUAGUGAUCCGGUGGUUCUGAAUGGAAGGGCCAUCGCUCAACGGAUAAAAGGUACUCCGGGGAUAACAGGCUGAUACCGCCCAAGAGUUCAUAUCGACGGCGGUGUUUGGCACCUCGAUGUCGGCUCAUCACAUCCUGGGGCUGAAGUAGGUCCCAAGGGUAUGGCUGUUCGCCAUUUAAAGUGGUACGCGAGCUGGGUUUAGAACGUCGUGAGACAGUUCGGUCCCUAUCUGCCGUGGGCGCUGGAGAAUUGAGGGGGGCUGCUCCUAGUACGAGAGGACCGGAGUGGACGCAUCACUGGUGUUCGGGUUGUCAUGCCAAUGGCACUGCCCGGUAGCUAAAUGCGGAAGAGAUAAGUGCUGAAAGCAUCUAAGCACGAAACUUGCCCCGAGAUGAGUUCUCCCUGAGACUUUAAGUCUCCUGAAGGAACGUUAAAGACGAUGACGUUGAUAGGCCGGGUGUGUAAGCGCAGCGAUGCGUUGAGCUAACCGGUACUAAUGAACCGUGAGGCUUAACCUUACAACGCCGAAG